rnacentral:lncRNA from 1 species
UAUUAGGUUAUUGAAUCUCCAUACCCUUAGGAAGAUGGAGCCCUGAAAUCUCACCUGGAUCCUCUGCUCAUAGGUUGCACUCAUCCUGUGUGGAGGUUGAGCUCUGGCACUGUGCAAGCAGGGAGCAUCCCAGACCUGUGGAGGAGCUCAGCAGGAGAAGAAUCAGUGGGGGAAAAUAGUCCUAAUGCUGUGUUGCUGGUGGUGGGUCAGGCAGUUUGAACAGAGGUCUGUGGUGCUCCAGCUCGUUGGGAACUUUUGUGCUCAGGCCAGGAGGAUGCUGCAGAUGGAGCUGAUCUGUGAAUUUCAAAUCUGUGCCUCCACCAGUGUUGACACGGUGCAAUGAUGCAGCCGAGCUCUCAGAUGUCUGGCUCGAAGAGUUGUGAAAUGAUCAAGCAGACAAACCCAACCAUUUCAGCCUUGUCA